UACCUGUGGCCCUGCAGGGCCACCUGGAUUCAGUAGGAGGGCAGCCCCUGAGGACCUGUCUGUCAGCUUGGCCAGGCUCUGCUUUCAGCCCAAUUGUGACUUAACAAGGAAGUCACAGUGUCCUCAGGCAGAGAGAGCCUACAGGGAGGAAGCUGAGUGGGGCUGGCUGGAAGACUGGCUUGGGGAGGCCAAAGCUUCUAAGAAGGAUGGCCAGCGCUGGCCUGACCCAGCAGUCACUGGGCUCAUGUGAGCCUUUGACCUUCUUAUGAAAGAAAACUGGGUAAUUCUAAAGUCAGAAAAACAUACAAGACAAACAUCAGCCCAUGUAAGGUACCCAAAAAGAGGAAAUUGGGAACCACAGCAUUCAUUUCAGAGUCCCCCUUCUCCUUCCAGCUGUGAGCUGAUGCCCCAAGGGAAAUGCAAUCCCCACCCUGGACUUUGCCCUGCCUGUGAAUUGGUGGAGAGGCAGAACCUGGGACCCUCAAUGAGUUCA